AACAUGACUCUUGGCAAUGGAUAUCUUGGAUCUCACCCUAAUGAAGAAUGUAGUGAAAUAUGAUACUUAGUGUGAAUUGUAGAAUCAUGUGAAUCAUUGAGUCUUUGAAUGUAAGUUAUACCUGACGCCUCAACUGAUGGCAUGUCUACUUGGGAAUUGUAC
rnacentral:rRNA from 1 species